rnacentral:rRNA from 1 species
UGCAUAUCCAAUAAGCGGAGGAAAAGAAACUAACAAGGAUUCCCUUAGUAACGGCGAGUGAACCGGGAAGAGCUCAAAUUUGAAAUCUGGCUGUCUUCGAUAGUCCGAGUUGUAAUCUAUAGAAGCGUUUUCCGUGCUGAACUGUGUCUAAGUCCCUUGGAACAGGGUAUCAAAGAGGGUGACAAUCCCGUACUUGACACAAUCAUCAGUGCUCUGUGAUACGCUCUCUACGAGUCGAGUUGUUUGGGAAUGCAGCUCAAAAUGGGUGGUAAAUUCCAUCUAAAGCUAAAUAUUGGCGAGAGACCGAUAGCGAACAAGUACCGUGAGGGAAAGAUGAAAAGCACUUUGGAAAGAGAGUUAAACAGUACGUGAAAUUGUUGAAAGGGAAACGAUUGAAGUCAGUCGUGUUCAUUGGAUUCAGCCGGUCUUCGGUGUACUUCCUUUGAACGGGUCAACAUCAGUUUUGCCCGGUGGAUAAAGGCAGUAGGAAUGUGGCCUCUCCGGAGGUGUUAUAGCCUAUUGUCACAUACACUGGGGGAGACUGAGGACUGCAGCUCGCCUUUUGGCCGGGGUUCGCCCACGUUCGAGCUUA